rnacentral:rRNA from 1 species
GCGGCGGACGGGUGAGUAAUGCAUAGGAAUCUGCCCGGUAGUGGGGGAUAACCUGGGGAAACCCAGGCUAAUACCGCAUACGUCCUACGGGAGAAAGGGGGCUCCGGCUCCCGCUAUUGGAUGAGCCUAUGUCGGAUUAGCUAGUUGGUGAGGUAAAGGCUCACCAAGGCAACGAUCCGUAGCUGGUCUGAGAGGAUGAUCAGCCACAUCGGGACUGAAACACGGCCCGAACUCCUACGGGAGGCAGCAGUGGGGAAUAUUGGACAAUGGGGGCAACCCUGAUCCAGCCAUGCCGCGUGUGUGAAGAAGGCCCUCGGGUUGUAAAGCACUUUCAGCGAGGAAGAACGCCUAGCGGUUAAUACCCGUUAGGAAAGACAUCACUCGCAGAAGAAGCACCGGCUAACUCCGUGCCAGCAGCCGCGGUAAUACGGAGGGUGCAAGCGUUAAUCGGAAUUACUGGGCGUAAAGCGCGCGUAGGUGGCUUGAUAAGCCGGUUGUGAAAGCCCCGGGCUCAACCUGGGAACGGCAUCCGGAACUGUCAGGCUAGAGUGCAGGAGAGGAAGGUAGAAUUCCCGGUGUAGCGGUGAAAUGCGUAGAGAUCGGGAGGAAUACCAGUGGCGAAGGCGGCCUUCUGGACUGACACUGACACUGAGGUGCGAAAGCGUGGGUAGCAAACAGGAUUAGAUACCCUGGUAGUCCACGCCGUAAACGAUGUCGACCAGCCGUUGGGUGCCUAGAGCACUUUGUGGCGAA